rnacentral:rRNA from 1 species
UACAGAGGUGGCAAGCGUUGCUCGGUAUCACUGGGCUUAAAGGGCGCGUAGGCGGUGCGGUGCGGUUUCGGUGAAAUCCCUCGGCCCAACCGAGGAACAGCCGGGGCUACGGCCGUGCUAGACGGCAUCAGGGGACAGUGGAGCUCCCGGUGGAGCGGUGAAAUGCGUAGAUAUCGGGAGGAACGCCGGUGGCGAAAGCGACUGUCUGGGGUGCUUGUGACGCUGAGGCGCGAAAGCCAGGGGAUCAAACGGG